rnacentral:lncRNA from 1 species
UUUUAAAUAAAUCUAAUGUUCUCUUUAAAUAAUACUUCUUGCAGCAUCAUCAAAACAAUUCUUCAGGUUUUACCAAUGCUCCUUAUUGGUAACAAUCUCCCCCUUUUUUAUGAUGAUCAAAAAAUCACUUUUAAAAGCAACUCUGGCUUACCUGCAAUACGUACGAGCUAACAGAAAACAAAGUUAGCAGUACCUGUAUCAAUUAUUAAUUUGUAUUAUACUUCUCCCCUUACAUUAUUCUUCUCCCCUUAUAUUAUUCUUCUCCCCAUUUUGAUCAUAAGCAAAAAGAUUAAAUUAAAAAUCUUCCCCUAAAUAUGAUCUCCCCCUAAAUACGAUCUCCCCCUCAACUAAACAAUGUAUGCAUAAAACAAGAGAUCUUGUUAUUCAUAAAAGAAAGGAUUACAUAGACACCAUAAGGAGAAACAUAAAAGACAGAAAUAUAACAUAGAGAUAAGAAUAACAACCAAUCAACAAAGCACUCAAAAAAAUCUUAAUUCUAAAAUUCAGGACUUGGGAUCUCUCGGGUGAUUAAAGGUUUAGAUGAUUUUCAGUAUUUCCUAGAUGAACAUCAAUGUCAAGAAUUUGAUCAACCAUAUAACUUUUCAUGAGCUUGCUGCCAUUCAUAAAUUUGAUCAAAGUGAGGUUUCAGGGCAAGACUUAUAUCUUCCAGUUAUCACAAAAGUUCUCAAUUAAAAGCUUUACCCCUCUUUUUUAAAAAAAAUCUAAAGUUUAUGCUCCUCAUAAAAUAAGUAACUUAAAAAUUUAAGUCCUUUUAAAAGUACUCCUCCUAAAUGUAAUAAUCCCCUUUUACGCUGAUAAUCGAUUAUUUGUGUUCAAAAUCUAAAUUUUUAGGCCGAGAUAAUCGAUUAUGACCCUUUGGUAAUCUAUUAUUGACGUUAAUUUCCGAAAAACAGAGAUUUGGGCCAAAUUUUUAACCUAAGAUACAUCUAACAUUCAUAAAUUAUUUCAAAGCUCUUAAAAAAAAUACCAGGAUACCAUAGAGCUUUCUUUUCCUUUAGCAAAUUUCACCUGCAAAACAAAACAAUAGAGUUUUGGUCCCCAUAAUCUCAUUUGGGUCCUUUGAUGUUAGAGGCAUAUUACUUAAUAAUGGGAAUCCAAACAUAUUUUCCAUUAGGAAUAUCAAAAUGUUUGAUUCUACAUUUGUUAGAAGUGUGCCCGUUUUUCAUACAGUAAAAACAUGAGACAACAUUUGAGUUCCUAUAACAAACAGUUCCUUUUUCAACCCAUACCC